CUCUGAUCUGCUCUGGGUAAGUCGGGACCUAAGGCGAGGCCGAGAGGCGUAGCCGAUGGACAACAGGUUGAGAUUCCUGUACUGCUGUAUAUCAGAACUGUGGGGACACAGAGGGAAAGCACAGGCGCGGAACGGAAAGCCGCGUGCAAGCGAGGUACCGGACUGGUAGGAAAAACCGCCAGCCAACGGGAAGACGUGAUGCGGACCGAAAUUUAGUAGGGAAGUGUGUGAGCCAGCUGUCAAGAAAAGCCGCUAUUGUGUAUACAGUACCCGUACCGUAAACCGACACAGGUGGAUGAGGAGAGAAUCCUAAGGCCGGCGGAAGAAGUAUUGUCAAGGAACUCGGCAAAAUGACCCUGUAACUUCGGGAGAAAGGGUGCCUCGAAAGAGGCCGCAGAGAAUUGGCCCAAGCAACUGUUUAGCAAAAACACAGGUCUAUGCGAAACCGAAAGGUGAGGUAUAUGGGCUGACGCCUGCCCGGUGCUGGAAGGUUAAGGGGAGAUGUUAGAGCAAUCGAAGCAUCGAACUUAAGCCCCAGUAAACGGCGGCCGUAACAAUAACGGUCCUAAGGUAGCGAAAUUCCUUGUCGGGUAAGUUCCGACCCGCACGAAAGGCGUAAUGAUUUGGGCGCUGUCUCGACAAUACAUCCGGUGAAAUUGAAGUACCAGUGAAGAUGCUGGUUACCCGCGCCAGGACGGAAAGACCCCAUGGAGCUUUACUCCAGCUUGAUACUGGGAUUCGGUAUUGCAUGUACAGGAUAGGUGGGAGGCUAAGAAGCAUGGACGCCAGUCUAUGUGGAGCCGCUGUUGGGAUACCACCCUUGCGGUAUUGGAUUUCUAACCAGCCGCCGUGAAACCGGCGGUGGGACAAUGUCAGGCGGGGAGUUUGACUGGGGCGGUCGCCUCCGAAAGGGUAUCGGAGGCGCCCAAAGGUUCCCUCAGAAUGGUUGGAAACCAUUCGAAGAGUGCAAAGGCAGAAGGGAGCUUGACUGUGACACCGACGGGUGGAGCAGGUACGAAAGUAGGGCUUAGUGAUCCGGUGGUAUUAAGUGGGAAUGCCAUCGCUCAACGGAUAAAAGCUACCCUGGGAUAACGCUUAUCACUCCCAAGAGUUCACAUCGACGGAGUGGUUUGGCACCUCGAUGUCGGCUCAUCGCAUCCUGGGGCUGUAGUAGGUCCCAAGGGUUGGGCUGUUCGCCCAUUAAAGCGGUACGCGAGCUGGGUUCAGAACGUCGUGAGACAGUUCGGUCCCUAUCCGGCGUGGGCGCAGGAUAUUUGAGAGGAGCUGUCCUUAGUACGAGAGGACCGGGAUGGACUGACCUCUGGUGCACCGGUUGUUCCGCCAGGAGCAUAGCCGGGUAGCCAAGUCGGGAAGGGAUAAACGCUGAAGGCAUCUAAGCGUGAAGCCCCCCUCAAGAUGAGAUAUCCCAUGCGAAAGCGAUAAGACCCCUUGAAGACGACGAGGUAGAUAGGUCAGAGGUGGAAGUGCAGUAAUGCAUGGAGCUGACUGAUACUAAUAGGUCGAAGGCUUAACCU
rnacentral:rRNA from 1 species